ACUGGCUGAAACACUUGCUGAACUGGUGUCAGAAGUAAAAGAACUCCGUCAAGAGGUUCAAGGCUUCAUGAGACGGCAGCUACCAAUGUCUCCUCCAUUACCUCUAUCGCUACCAUUAAACGACUUGAACAAGUUAGAAAAGGCUGAGGAGAUUCUUCAGACUGAAGAUGCCAGACGUAAUAAUGGUUGGUCGUUAUGCUAUAGUGGGAGGAGCAUCAGCUGAGGUGCGUGUUAGAAGGAUGCUGGCCUGUACACUGACCAAUAAGCUGGCGUCUCAGAUGAACUGGGCAGGGAAAAAAGUUAAAGAUGGGCAAAAACAAAAAACUGCGUUUAAAGACACUAGACUAAAGAUAUGCAUGUUUGGUUGGUCGUUAUGCUAUAGUGGGAGGAGCAUCAGCUGAGGUGCGUGUUAGAAGGAUGCUGGCCUGUACACUGACCAAUAAGCUGGCGUCUCAGAUGAACUGGGCAGGGAAAAAAGUUAAAGAUGGGCAAAAACAAAAAACUGCGUUUAAAGACACUAGACUAAAGAUAUGCAUGUUUGAUGCUUUACAACAACAAUUGAAGGCAGAGAAAAAGGAGGCCUCAGAAUAUGUGUUUGCUGUAGCAGUGCAGAAAUGGCUUCGCUACGCCCCUGAGCGGCAUGGGGGUAUUGCUCGUGGUGUAGUAGAACAGUAAUAAUGUUUCUUGUCCUUGGUGAGCUUUGUACAUUUCCAUUUUAUUUAUAGUUUUUUAUCGUUUCUUUUACUUUCAGUUCAUCAAUCUGCACAUAUGUAGAAUGAUA